rnacentral:rRNA from 1 species
GCUUAACACAUGCAAGUCGAGGGGCAGCAUGGUCUUAGCUUGCUAAGGCCGAUGGCGACCGGCGCACGGGUGAGUAACACGUAUCCAACCUGCCGUCUACUCUUGGACAGCCUUCUGAAAGGAAGAUUAAUACAAGAUGGCAUCAUGAGUCCGCAUGUUCACAUGAUUAAAGGUAUUCCGGUAGACGAUGGGGAUGCGUUCCAUUAGAUAGUAGGCGGGGUAACGGCCCACCUAGUCUUCGAUGGAUAGGGGUUCUGAGAGGAAGGUCCCCCACAUUGGAACUGAGACACGGUCCAAACUCCUACGGGAGGCAGCAGUGAGGAAUAUUGGUCAAUGGGCGAGAGCCUGAACCAGCCAAGUAGCGUGAAGGAUGACUGCCCUAUGGGUUGUAAACUUCUUUUAUAAAGGAAUAAAGUCGGGUAUGGAUACCCGUUUGCAUGUACUUUAUGAAUAAGGAUCGGCUAACUCCGUGCCAGCAGCCGCGGUAAUACGGAGGAUCCGAGCGUUAUCCGGAUUUAUUGGGUUUAAAGGGAGCGUAGAUGGAUGUUUAAGUCAGUUGUGAAAGUUUGCGGCUCAACCGUAAAAUUGCAGUUGAUACUGGAUAUCUUGAGUGCAGUUGAGGCAGGCGGAAUUCGUGGUGUAGCGGUGAAAUGCUUAGAUAUCACGAAGAACUCCGAUUGCGAAGGCAGCCUGCUAAGCUGCAACUGACAUUGAGGCUCGAAAGUGUGGGUAUCAAACAGGAUUAGAUACCCUGGUAGUCCACACGGUAAACGAUGAAUACUCGCUGUUUGCGAUAUACAGCAAGCGGCCAAGCGAAAGCGUUAAGUAUUCCACCUGGGGAGUACGCCGGCAACGGUGAAACUCAAAGGAAUUGACGGGGGCCCGCACAAGCGGAGGAACAUGUGGUUUAAUUCGAUGAUACGCGAGGAACCUUACCCGGGCUUAAAUUGCAGAUGAAUUACGGUGAAAGCCGUAAGCCGCAAGGCAUCUGUGAAGGUGCUGCAUGGUUGUCGUCAGCUCGUGCCGUGAGGUGUCGGCUUAAGUGCCAUAACGAGCGCAACCCUUGUUGUCAGUUACUAACAGGUUCCGCUGAGGACUCUGACAAGACUGCCAUCGUAAGAUGUGAGGAAGGUGGGGAUGACGUCAAAUCAGCACGGCCCUUACGUCCGGGGCUACACACGUGUUACAAUGGGGGGUACAGAGGGCCGCUACCACGCGAGUGGAUGCCAAUCCCAAAAACCUCUCUCAGUUCGGACUGGAGUCUGCAACCCGACUCCACGAAGCUGGAUUCGCUAGUAAUCGCGCAUCAGCCACGGCGCGGUGAAUACGUUCCCGGGCCUUGUACACACCGCCCGUCAAGCCAUGGGAGCCGGGGGUACCUGAAGUGCGUAACCGCGAGGAGCGCCCUAGGGUAAAACUGGUGACUGGGGCUAA